ensembl:lncRNA
ACCUGGGUGCUGCUGUGAAGGUAUUUUUGUAGAUGUGGUUAACAUCUAUAUUCCGUUGGCUUUAAGUGAAGAAGUUACCCCUCGAUAAUGUAGGUGGGCUUCAUCCAAUCAGUUGAAAGCCUUCAGAGCAAAAACUGAGGUUCCCUGGAGAAGAAGAAAUUCUGCCUUAAAUCUACAGCUUCUAACCUGCCAACCUGCACUGCAGAUUUCAGACUCGCCAAGUACUGCAAUCAGGAGGAUUAUUUACCACAGAGCCACCUGGGAAGCCUCCUCUCUUGUUGGGACUCUCAUGUGUAUGCUGGUGGAGUUGAUGGAGUCCUUAAUGUUUGGAGAGAUGUCUUCCACGUGGCCAGUCAGCCCUGGUAGAGUUCCAAGUGAGGCCAAAAAAACAAUGGUGUGUGUAGGGGGGAGAAGGAUUCCUUUGCACAGGUUCUCCAGAGAAACUGCAGCCAGGCCAAACAAACAGGCACGGUUCCUCAGGGACAAGAUCUUCUCUUGCUCGCCCUGAGGCUGAUUUCCAUACUGAGGCUGAUUUCCAUACUGAGACUGUGUGCUGCUGCCUUUAAGACCACUGCACUGCCACAAUGAGAGAACGAAGGGGCUAAGGUGGCUUUGAUUCCGAUCACAGACUCACAUGCUAUCUACACCAUUGGCUUCUGCAAGCCUAUCCCACAGAGCAACAGUUUCCUUGAAUGUCAUGAAUGAUCAGCAGCAUCAGAGGACAAACCAGCCCUGGGUUCAGUGG